UCAAUUACUUCAUUUUUAAUUGAGUUUAUUGAUUUAAAUUUCACCACUUUCAUUAAUACUGUAGAUUUGUAGUAGAUAAAUUCAUACCUGUAAUUAAUUUAACAAAGUAUUAAAUCAUAUAGGUUAAAUCAUACAAAUUAUUAAGUCAUAAUUUUUGGAUAUGGCUAAUCUGGACUCGGACCUUUAGAUCCAAAAUGUUUAAUGUGACUAAAAUUAGUCUCAACCUGAGAUCCGAGCUCAUUUACACCUCUAAUUUCGAGGUUGUAUAUCAAUUUAUUUCAAAUAAACGACCUAUAUUGAUAUUUCAAAAGAUUUUUUAUUUUUGAUAUCUCACUUUAUUACAAGCUUUAUAACUAGUGAAUUUGCAAAAUUAGACAGUUGACCCAGGUGAUUUGUGGAAAUAUUACAAUGGAGAAUUUAUGGAUUAAGUUGAAAAAAAUACAAUGAAGGAUUUCUUCGUUGGUUCCCAGACUUUUUUCAUUUCAAUAAUAUUCCUCUUACCAAAAUCAGAAAGAGACAACAAGAAUCAUUCCAAAACCAAAUGACUAUAUAUAUAACAUGUGUUUUUUUAGUUUGAAAAGAAUAUUAACAAGAUCGAAGUGUGAACGUAAUUUAAUUUUUAUUCUUUUGACUCAUGUUUCAAAAAAAAAGAAUAUAUCAUCAUCGUGUUCCCAUUUUAAAAGACUUUCAUAGUACUCAUUUACCUAAUGUUUCAAAUCUAUGGUACAUUUCAGAUGUGAUACCUUAAAUAUAUUGUCCUGCGUCAUCAAAUCUUUAUCAUUAAUAUUUAAUUUAAUAACUAAAAUAAUAUAUUGCAUAAUACACUAACACAUACAUGUACGUCGAAAAGUCGAUCUAAUGGAUAAAAUUAAUUUGACUCAUUUUGACCUUUUGAUAAUUACUCUAAAGUAUUAUACCACAUAAUUCUUUUUUAAUAUAAUGUAUUUCGUACAAAUGGUAAAAGAUUUCAUUAAAGUAUCACCCAAAAGGUAUUUAUACAGUUAUUAUUGGGUCUGAGACUUAUUGGAUCAUUUGGGUGUUCCCGACCCAGUCCAUUUGGACGUGCGGGCCUGUUGGGGUGGGGUGGACCAGACUUGAUGGUCUCGGUUUGAUAGUCCAGAGGUAUCAUCAACAUCAUUACACUUCAAUAAGAAAAUAACAAUUUGUCUCUAAGUUUUGCCUUCGAAGUGUAAUAAUAUAACGGUUAAGGUUCGUGGUCAAUGAUGAUGGGACUUUUGUUUGCCUCUGUGUGUUAAACUACCAAUGUUUAGUGAUUGUAAUUUGUGAUUGACACGAUUAAUGAAGAAUCGUUAUCAAGCAAUUAAUUGAGAGAUUAAGUAACGGUUAACCUUGCUAAUUACCCUAGAUGUAACUUGUUUAUUUAAUUUAUUUCAAUCAUGUAAUUCAAGCCCACGA
rnacentral:lncRNA from 1 species